rnacentral:sRNA from 1 species
GGGCCGGGCACGGUGGCUCACGCCUGUAAUCCCAGCACUUUGGGAGGCCGAGGCGGGUGGAUCACAAGGUCAGGAGAUCGAGACCAUCCUGGCUAACAUGGUGAAACCCUAUCUCUACUAAAAACACAAAAAAUUAGCCUGGCAUGGUGGCGGGCACCUGUGGUCCCAGCUACUCAGGAGGCUGGGGCAGGAGAAUGGCGUGAACCCGGGAGGCGGAGCUUGCAGUGAGCUGAGAUGGCACCACUGCCCUCCAGCCUGGGUGACAGAGUGAGACUGUCUCAAAAAAAAAAAAAAAAGAAAGAAAGAAAAGGUACCUACUCUCUUACUACUGAAAACACACCAUUAUUUUGCCUUUCAAUAUGAUAUUAAAAUUUACUGCUCAAAACCUCUUGUAUUUUUAAAUUUAACCAUAGAAUAUUACCACAAAUUUAGCGCCUACUGUAUAUUUACCUUUUCAAAUGCUUUCUGCUAGGCUUUUUCACUACUGAUGUCUGAAUGGAAGUAUCCUGGACCACUAUGUAAAUUUGACUAUCGUUCAGAAAUAAAACUGGGAUUAAAGACCAAGCAAUUAAUUUGAAUUAUUUUAUUCUAGUUCCAAAAGCUGAGACAAGAUCUUGAAAUGGUACUGUCCACUAUGGAGUCAAAGAAUGAAAAGUUAAAGGAAGACUUAGAAAGGGAACAACGGUGGUUGGAUGAACAGCAACAGAUAAUGG